rnacentral:lncRNA from 1 species
GCAUUAAAUCACAUCCUGUUGUUUGGCUGUAUGAUUGCAAAACUAAAAUGACUGAACACAAUGUGGCAACAUACAUGCUUUAGUAACGCUGCUGCCAACUGUUCUUGGCAUAAAGUGAGUUGACUCAUCUUGAAAAUAGGCCUCUGUUACUUAAAACUGGGGCAGAAUGCAAAUGUUCGUCCUGCUGACCAUCACUGACAUCGUUACCGGUAUUAUUUAUGAAGCAGUGGUGCGCACUCUCAGAAGGCAUCUGCAAGGGGUGUAUUGCAUUAAGCUGAUACAUUACGGACCCAACAGAACAGUGGAGAUUUGCAGUAGCAAAUGGAUCACCGAGGAAAUAAAUAAGAUGCUGUGGAAAUAUAUGGUGCUCAACAAAGAAACCCUGCCUUGGUCCUACACAGAGUGAAUCACAAACCUGGAAGUUCAUUUCAGGGCUGCUCUCAUUAUUAAUCAGGUAGGUCUUAAUCCACUGCCUGUGUGAGGGUUUUGUUUGUUUGAUGUUGGUGAGGCUUUCUGAGAUAACACCCAGAUACUGUUAUAAUCUGUAUAGGUUAGAAUGUCCAUAGCUGCCUUUCACCAGCCAACCUUGUAAACUGGGAAAGUGAGACAUGUUAAAUAAUGCAAGUUUG